UUUCACCAAGGCCUUCUAAUAAAAGUUUAUAGGGACAUUACUUUCAUUAAUACUCUAAGAAGGAUAGGUGGAAAAGAGAUACUUACAUUUGAUUCGGCAGCAGGGUUCAUAUUCCUAAAGGUUAAGAAAGCCCUGCCAAGGGGUUCUUACUUCCAUCUUUUAUCGAGAGUAGCAAAAACAACAGCCUUCUUUAUUUUCAGCUGUCAAUGGUCAAUCUACUGUUCAGUAGGUCACACCAACAGUUGGUAGAGCUCCAAACAAUCAGGAAAAAGUGAAAAAUGAGCUUAAGAAACUACGUCAAAGCCUUGGUUUCAGGGGCCAAGGAGCAGCAAUAGCUCUUCAUCGAAGCAAGAAUCCAAACUAAAGACAAGUGUGAUGUAAUGUAGAGAAAGCAUUUGUAUAUGAUGUAUUUCCCUCCCUUUUUUGGCCAAUUUGUUGUAAUACAUGAAAAGAACAACACCUAAGCAAUCAUCAUUUGUGUGAAUUUCCAAUCAGCUUUUUUUUUUUUUUGGUUAUGUAAAUAAAAUAAAAA